GAGUUUGAUCGUGGCUCAGAUUGAACGCUGGCGGCAUGCCUUACACAUGCAAGUCGAACGGCAGCAUGAUCUAGCUUGCUAGAUUGAUGGCGAGUGGCGAACGGGUGAGUAAUACAUCGGAACGUGCCCUGUAGUGGGGGAUAACUAGUCGAAAGAUUAGCUAAUACCGCAUACGACCUGAGGGUGAAAGUGGGGGACCGCAAGGCCUCAUGCUAUAGGAGCGGCGAUGUCUGAUUAGCUAGUUGGUGGGGUAAAGGCCCACCAAGGCGACGAUCAGUAGCUGGUCUGAGAGGACGAUCAGCCACACUGGGACUGAGACACGGCCCAGACUCCUACGGGAGGCAGCAGUGGGGAAUUUUGGACAAUGGGCGAAAGCCUGAUCCAGCAAUGCCGCGUGUGUGAAGAAGGCCUCGGUUGUAAG
rnacentral:rRNA from 1 species